AUUGAACGCUGGCGGCAGGCCUAACACAUGCAAGUCGAGCGGAGCGGCGGACGGGUGAGUAAUGCCUAGGAAUCUGCCUGGUAGUGGGGGAUAACGUCCGGAAACGGGCGCUAAUACCGCAUCCUAUCAGAUGAGCCUAGGUCGGAUUAGCUAGUUGGUGGGGUAAAGGCAUACCAAGGCGACGAUCCGUAACUGGUCUGAGAGGAUGAUCAGUCACACUGGAACUGAGACACGGUCCAGACUCCUACGGGAGGCAGCAGUGGGGAAUAUUGGACAAUGGGCGAAAGCCUGAUCCAGUCAUGCCGCGUGUGUGAAGAAGGUCUUCGGAUUGUAAAGCACUUUAAGCUGGGAGGCGUUACCGACAGAAGAAGCACCGGCUAACUCCGUGCCAGCAGCCGCGGUAAUUC
rnacentral:rRNA from 1 species